rnacentral:pre_miRNA from 1 species
CACAUACUCCCUCCAUCCAAUAAAGGAUGUCUCAACUUUGACUAAAUUUGAAUGCAUCUAUACACUAAGUCAUGUCUAGAUACAUCUAAAUUUUGACAAACUUGAGACAUCUUUUGUUGGACGGAGGGAGUAGAUA